AAUCUUGGGCGGUCAUGUUCUAUAUAUUCAUAGUAAUUCAAUCUUGGGCGGUCAUGUUCUAUAUAUUCAUAGUAAUUCAAUCUUGGGCGGUCAUGUUCUAUAUAUUCAUAGUAAUUCAAUCGGUCAUGUUAUGAUUGCAACUCUGACCAAGUCAGGUUUGGUUUGAUAGCAUAACAUGGCCUUCUUAUCUUUGCCGGUCAUGAUUUGACAACCCUGGCUUAGUCAAGAUAUAUCCCAUGUUUUACAUCUUGACUAGGCCAUGAUUUUCUAUCCCAAGAUUGCAUUGGCCAAGAUACAUUACUUCCAAACGCAGUCAAGAUUUACUUCCCAAGAUUUUAUAGGACCGAGAUUCGGCCAAGAUAGCAUUGCGCCAAGAUACAUUACUUCCAAACGCAGUCAAGAUUCACUUCCCAAGAUUUCAAAAGACAAAGACUAAUUUCCCAAGAUUACAAAAGAUCAAGAAUCGGCCAAGAAUUUUUAGGAUGCAGAAGCGCGGCAAUAAUCAUAUGCUUGCUUGGCCACGGGUCGAGACCCACAUACAGAACUUUAGUUCAGUACUGCUACAUGCAGAUUAUCAGAGAAGAAUUGGAAGAAGUGAAAUUUGCCUGGAAUAACCACAGAAUCAGGAAACAAAAAUCAGGUGAUAUUGUUCCUGGGAUACCUGAGCUCCUUUAUCAUGUUCCUGAAAUGUUAGGCAAUCCACAGUGCCAAAAUUAUCUUCAUUAUAUCGAUGUUAAUGAUGAGCGGUUUCAUUUUCUGAAAUCUCAAUGCUGCUUUCAAAAUGACUUGGAUGAUGACAUUAAGGAAGCUUUUGACAUCAUCUCAGACUAUUACCGUCCUUCAACAAUAUUAGAAGCCAGAACUAUGUAUAUUGCACUCAAAGAUGUAUUGGAACACCAAAUAUAUCAUUAAUUUUUUUGCUUUUUUUUUGGGG